UACGAAGGGUGCUAGCGUUGUUCGGAAUCACUGGGCGUAAAGCGUGCGUAGGCGGCUUUGCAAGUCAGGGGUGAAAUCCCACAGCUCAACUGUGGAAUUGCCUUUGAAACUGCAUGGCUGGAGUAUUGGAGGGGUCAGGGGAAUUCCUAAUGUAGUGGUGAAAUACGUAGAUAUUAGGAGGAACACCGGUGGCGAAGGCGGCGACCUGGUCCUUGACUGACGCUGAGGCGCGAAAGCGUGGGGAUCAAACAGG
rnacentral:rRNA from 1 species